AUCUGAGCCCUGCCUUCCGCGAACGAAGCCCACCUGGUCAUCCCGAAUUAGUUUGGGGAGCAUAGUUCCCAAUCUAUUUGCAUAGAUUUUUGCCAGUAUUUUUAAGUCUGUGUUUAGGAGGGAUAUGGGCCGCAAAUUCUGGCAUUUGUGUGGUGGUUUCCCAGGUUUUGGCAGUGUUGUUAUGUGAGCCAUUAGCAUCUCCCUUGGUACUUUGCCUGUCUUGAGGAUAGUAUUGUAUAAUUUUUCUAGUGUGGGGGCUAAAAUAUGUGAGAAGGUUUUGUAAUAUAAAUUUGUAAAGCCGUCUGGGCCGGGUGAUUUCCCUUUGGGAAGGGUCUUAAUUGUGUGUGUUAUUUCAGUCUGAGUGACAGGGUCAUUCAGAAAGGUGCG